rnacentral:rRNA from 1 species
UGGGGGAUAUUGCACAAUGGGCGAAAGCCUGAUGCAGCGACGCCGCGUGGGGGAUGAAGGCCUUCGGGUUGUAAACUUCUUUUGCUCUGAACAAGGCAUGCCUUUGGGGUGUGUUGAGUGUAGGGGUUGAUUAGCGCCGGCUAACUACGUGCCAGCAGCCGCGGUAAUACGUAGGGCGCGAGCGUUGUCCGGAAUUAUUGGGCGUAAAGGGCUUGUAGGUGGCUGGUUGCGUCUGUCGUGAAAGCUCAUGGCUUAACUGUGGGUUUGCGGUGGGUACGGGCUGGCUGGAGUGCAGUAGGGGAGGCUGGAAUUCCUGGUGUGGCGGUGGAAUGCGCAGAUAUCAGGAGAAAUACCGGUGGCGAAGGCGGGUCUCUGGGCUGUUACUGACGCUGAGGAGCGAAAGCGUGGGGAGCGAACAGG